rnacentral:rRNA from 1 species
UACGUAGGGGGGCGAGCGUUGUCCGGAUUCAUUGGGCGUAAAGAGCUCGUAGGCGGCUGCUCAAGUCGAAUGUGAAAACUCGAGGCUCAACCUCGAGCCUGCAUUCGAUACUGGGCGGCUAGAGUCUGGUAGGGGGAUCUGGAAUUCCUGGUGUAGCGGUGGAAUGCGCAGGAUAUCAGGAGGAACACCGGUGGCGAAGGCGGGAUCUGGGCCAGUACUGACGCUGAGGAGCGAAAGCGUGGGGAGCAAACAGGG